rnacentral:rRNA from 1 species
AAUGUAUUAGAGGGUCCCGCCCUGCCCUGUGACCAAAAGUUUAACGGCCGCGGUUAUCCUGACCGUGCGAAGGUAGCGCAAUCACUUGUCUUUUAAAUGAAGACCUGUAUGAAUGGCAUAACGAGGGUUUAACUGUCUCCUUUCCCCAGUCAAUGAAAUUGAUCUGCCCGUGCAGAAGCGGGCAUGAAAACAUAAGACGAGAAGACCCUAUGGAGCUUCAGGCCAAGGGCCAAACAUGUAAAAUAAACUAAACAAUAAGAAAUUUUAACAAAAAGUGAAAAACCAAAUGUAAAAUGGCCCAAGUGCCUUCGGUUGGGGCGACCAUGGGGAAAAAACAAACCCCCAAAUGGAAAGGGACAACCCUUAAACCAAGAAAAUUACUUCUAAGUAAUAGAACAUCUAACCAAAAAUGACCCAGAAAUUUAAUUCUGAUCAAUAAAACAAGUUACCCUAGGGAUAACAGCGCAAUCCUUUCCUAUAGUCCAUAUCGACGAAAGGGUUUACGACCUCGAUGUUGGAUCAGGACACCCUAAUGGUGCAGCCGCUAUUAAGGGUUCGUUUGUUCAACGAUUAAUAGUCCUACGUGAUCUGAGUUCAUACCGG